GCUCUCUAGAACCCGGUGAAAGUGCCCCACCCAGGGGAGGGGCCAGUGGAUUAAAAGGCAAGCAGCUCAAGUGGGAGGCAAGGACAGGGCCUCCCUCCCUCUAAAGGCCUCCCUGCAGUUCCAGCUCCAGAAAACGUGCCAAGAAGAGAGCACAGGACCCUGGAGCAGACCACCGGAACGCUGGAAGGGUGGGAGACUCCAGCUCAGACAACCGGGUCGGGGGGAGGGAUGGGUUUUCUCUUUCCUAUUCUAAAGAAAUAAAGAUGAGAACCAG